UUUAGAGUUCACUCCAAUGUCUGCUUUCCUGCAUCAAGACCAAGUACUGUGAUUCUUCAAGGGAUGUGUACUCCCUAGCCAGAAGGCAGCCUCCAUGGCCAGAAGCUGACAGAAAUGAAGUCCUCCUCUCUUGCAUGGAGGAAAAUGAAGAUUAGAAGAAGGCUUCCAGCCCAAAGCUUAGGAUUCAUACAUCCUGACUCGACUCCUU
rnacentral:lncRNA from 1 species